CAGCGACAGACGAGCGACAGCGCGACACAAAGACUCAGCCAGGGCUCCCGCUGCGCGGGCACCGGGUAGAGGGUGCGGGGAAGGGACAGCGGAUCCAUGGAGGGACACAGGGCGGUGCGGUGCUCCACGGGGCCUCUCCCUCAAACGGUGUACAGGGGUAUACAGCCAAAAAAUCUGAGAAACGCGUGGAAAGAAGCAGAUUCCCUGUUACCCCGCAGCGCGUGAAGGCCUGCCAGCUUCAGGAAAAUUCAGCAGCUGGAAGGGAGAAACAUGGGACAUAAACAGCCCCUGAUAUUUAAACCCCUGCUAGUGAAAUAUCAGGGAUUCACCACUUGCAGAAAUUUGGCACCGUGGAAUGAAGCUAGGCACCAAAGCUCCGACUGUAGAAGGUGGGAAGCUUGUGCUGAUGAAGCCCCCAAGAGGCUGAAGUGGACAAUGCUGUUCUACAACAACGGAGGAGGGGAUGAACAGAUUCUUUCAGGGAUCCAUGGCAGAAGAAUGGUUGCACUAAGUCAGAGUUGCAACUGA
rnacentral:lncRNA from 1 species